rnacentral:tRNA from 1 species
UGCCGGGUAGACGAAUUGGUAAAGUCCUCUACCUCUGAAGUAGAAGUCAUGCAGGUUCGUUAGCGAAGCGGUGCGAAGCACUUCCCUGCCCCGGCACCCA